GAUGAACGCUGGCGGCGUGCCUAAUACAUGCAAGUCGAGCGAAUGAUGAGGAGCUUGCUCCUCUGAUUUAGCGGCGGACGGGUGAGUAACACGUGGGUAACCUGCCUGUAAGAUGGGGAUAACUCCGGGAAACCGGGGCUAAUACCGAAUAAUAAAAGAAGAAGCAUUUCUUCUUUUUGAAAUUUGGUUUCGGCUAACACUUACAGAUGGGCCCGCGGCGCAUUAGCUCGGUGGUGAGGUAACGGCUCACCAAGGAGACGAUGCGUAGCCUACCUGAGAGGGUGAUCGGCCACACUGGGACGGAGACACGGCCCAGACUCCUACGGGAGGCAGCAGUAGGGAAUCUUCGGCAAUGGGCGAAAGCCUGACCGAGCAACGCCGCGUGAGCGAGGAAGGCCUUCGGGUCGUAAAGCUCUGUUGUCAGGGAAGAACAAGUACGAGAGUAACUGCUCGUACCUUGACGGUACCUGACCAGAAAGCCACGGCUAACUACGUGCCAGCCGCCGCAGUAACAC
rnacentral:rRNA from 1 species